rnacentral:rRNA from 1 species
AGUCGUUAUGGCUCAGAUUGAACGCUGGCGGGAUGUUUUACACAUGCAAGUCGAACGGCAGCACGGACUUCGGUCUGGUGGCGAGUGGCGAACGGGUGAGUAAUGUAUCGGAACGUGCCUAGUAGCGGGGAUAACUACGCGAAAGGUAGCUAAUACCGCAUACGCCCUUCGGGGGAAAGCGGGGGACCUUCGGGCCUCGCACUAUUAGAGCGGCCGAUAUCGGAUUAGCUAGUUGGUGGGGUAACGGCUCACCAAGGCGACGAUCCGUAGCUGGUUUGAGGACGACCAGCCACACUGGGACUGAGACACGGCCCAGACUCCCUACGGGAGGCAGCAGGGGGAAUUUUGGACAAUGGGAAACCCUGAUCCAGCCAUCCUGCGUGUGCGAUGAAGGCCUUCGGGUUGUAAAGCACUUUUGGCAGGAAAGAAAACGGCACGGGAUAAUACCCCGUGCAACUGACGGUACCUGCAGAAUAAGCACCGGCUAACUACGUGCCAGCAGCCGCGGUAAUACGUAGGGUGCAAGCGUUAAUCGGAAUUACUGGGCGAAGCGUGCGCAGGUGGCUCCGAAAAAGAAAGAUGUGAAAUCCCAGAGCUUAACUUUGGAACUGCAUUUUUAACUACCGAGCUAGAGUGUGUCAGAGGGGAGGUGGAAUUCGCGUGUAGCAGUGAAAUGCGUAGAUAUGCGGAGGAACACCGAUGGCGAAGGCAGCCUCCUGGGAUAACACCAUCGCUCGCGCACGAAAGCGUGGGGAGCAAACAGGAUUAGAUAAUUCUGGUAGUCCACGCCCUAAACGAUGUCAACUAGCUGUUGGGGCCUUGGUAGCGGUGAAGUUGACCGCCUGGGGAGUACGGUCGCAAGAUUAAAACUCAAAGGAAUUGACGGGGACCCGCACAAGCGGUGGAUGAUGUGGAUUAAUUCGAUGCAACGUGAAAAACCUUACCUACCCUUGACAUGUCUGGAAUCCCGAAGAGAUUUGGGAGUGUCGCAAGAGAACCGGAACACAGGUGCUGCAUGGCUGUCGUCAGCUCGUGUCGUGAGAUGUUGCUAAGUCCCGCAACGAGCGCAACCCUUGUCAUUAGUUGCUACGAAAGGGCACUCUUAAUGAGACUGCCGGUGACAAACCGGAGGAAGGUGGGGAUGACGUCAAGUCCUCAUGGCCCUUAUGGGUAGGGCUUCACACGUCAUACAAUGGUCGGGACAGAGGGUCGCCAACCCGCGAGGGGGAGCCAAUCCCAGAAACCCGAUCGUAGUCCGGAUCGCAGUCUGCAACUCGACUGCGUGAAGUCGGAAUCGCUAGUAAUCGCGGAUCAGCAUGUCGCGGUGAAUACGUUCCCGGGUCUUGUACACACCGCCCGCCACACCAUGGGAGUGGGUUUUACCAGUAUGCAGUUAGCCUAACCGUAAGGAGGGCGAUUACCACGGUAGGAUUCAUGACUGGGGUGAAGUCGUAACAAGGUAG